rnacentral:lncRNA from 1 species
GCGCAAAUAAAAAUGCCCUAAUAUUUUAUAAGAAAUUACAAGGCUUACAAAUUCACAAGAUAAAAAGUUGCUUAGGCAUAGGUUAUGCCCGAUAGGGCAAAAAUUUAGUUAUUUUAGGACAUUAUAUGUUAAGAUUAGAAGUGCAAGGCCCGUGUCAGUACGGGCCCAAUAAUAAAACAUGUGGAUUGCAAUUUUUAAGUUUUAGAAUUUAUCUUGGAGUAGAAAGUUUGAAUAGUAAAAUAUUUUAAUUAGGACGAUUGAGUUCAAGGGAACAAGAUUGUAGCACACACAUUUUAUAUAUAUACACACACAUAUAUAUACAUAUAUAUGUGUGAACAUUAAGGAGCCAUGUUUUGGAAAACGAUACUGUACAUAUAAUUUACAUAGAUACAAAAAAAGAGUUGAUGCAUCCUCAGGUUGGGCUUUGCAAAUGUAUGACUUAGACCUGUUGCAUGAAAGAAUACAAACUAAUUAUUGGAAGUUUAUGAUGAACAUGAAAAGAAAUUUAGGAAAAAUAAAAACAAAUAUUGGCCAUCGGUUGAUCAAUUCGACAGAAAGCAGCUAUUGCAUAGGUUGCUACAACAUUUUUACAUAUGUGAGAAAAAAGGAUUCAAAGAACUGAAGAAUUGACCCAUACAUGAUAGUGAAGUUAGCAAAUCAGAAAUUGUCACAUACUCUUAAUUUACAGAUACCUAGAACGGACCUUCACAAGGUUUUUAAUGUGUACACAGACCUUACCUUUUCCUUAAAAAGUAUGAGAGGUUGUUUCCGUUAGAAUGGCUCCAAACAUAUGGAAAAAAUGAGAACAACCAUAAGCAGUAAGAACAACAUGAAAAUAUAGUAAUGGAGGCUACUUUACAAAGUUACUUUGUCAUAGAAAUUUAAAAAUGCUUUUGGUUCUAAAUAUAGGAGAAAUAUAUAACCAAAUUCCGCAGCAGAAAUCCAAUUUUCAGAAAACAAAGUUCCCAACACCAAAAACAUGAAACUACUGUUAGAGAAAAUAUUUUUUAAGGUGGUGAAUAUUUUUUUAAGCCAAACAUUUAUUUUAUGCUAUAUCAUAGUUUUUUUUAUAACUUAGUACCUAAACAACAAAGAACAACUCACAAUUUUCAAAUCGAUGGAAUUUUUCACAGCACAAACUCUAAUUCCACCAACGCGGGACACAACCCACAAUUUCCGAAUAGAUUGGUACCUUUGAAAAUCAAGGUAACGUACCCCUAUUAUCUACUAACCUUCUAUCUCUAAUAUACAAUCUUCACACCUUCUUAUUUAUUUUUGAAGUUUAUAAAUAAUGAUUAUACAUAUUCUAGCAUUCCCUUUUUUUCGUGUAAGGAACAGGCAUGUAUUUUGACAUUUGUAGCUACUCUAGGUAAAUUUCCGUACUAAUCUACUGCUCUAUGUUUCACAUAAAAAUUCCUUAAAGUUAUUUUACUGAAAAACACAAAUAAUUUCUAGACCAAGUAAACAGAGAUUAUGGACCAUAACCUAAACAAAAAAAGACAUGCUGGGAUCAUUUCAUCCAAUAUGAUCAAGUAAGCAUGACAAAAUGAAAGAAAAUAUUUAUAUAUAGACAAUACAUAUUAGUUGAGAAUUUAUUUUAGAUGUUAGCAGAUUUUGAAAAUAAUCGACUCAAAUAGACGUUCAUCAUAACCUUUCACUUUAAUGGAAUACAAUGAUCAGCACAUGACAAGUUGUUCACAUCAUUAGACUUGUCAGGGGAAAGAGAGCAUAAACACAACUUCAUUUAAAGUGUCAUAAAGGGAUGUAGCUAGCUCGAUUGUAUCACAUAUUUAACAUGGCAACAUUCUUCGCAUAGGAUUAUCCCCCCGAGUAAGUUUGGGACUUUAGGAGAAGGAAAUUUAGAGAUACACACCAACUUUAGCUCAUAAGAAUCUUAUUACCAGAUGUAAACCAAUAGGACUGAGUAGCAAAAAGUCAUAUUAAAUGUGCACGUUAAGAAGGAAGGCACGAGUAAGUUUUGAAGCGGAGAAUGAUGAUAGUCACGCGGCUCCUGAAGGUGUGUGUUAGAGGUUUAUAUAUUCGAUAUGAAUAAAAUGUGAUAGUUCUGUUUAAAAAAAUAAGAAAAUGAGCAGGAGUCGGACUGAAGCUGAGAAUGAAAGCAAUUUACGUAAUAUUAUAAUUAUGUGAAAUUUGAAUGUUUAGGGAGUUAGAAGGUAUUGACAGGAUUCUGAGCCACCUUGCGCUAACUUCAGACAAUGCACCAACACAAGUACUGAUAACACCAAUGUAUAGUGUUUUUCCCCUCCACUUGAAUUUGAAUCUUCCAAAAGAACAGAGUCAUUCAAUNNNNNNNNNNNNNNNNNNNNNNNNNNNNNNNNNNNNNNNNNNNNNNNNNNNNNNNGAUAAUUAGUUUUGAGAUUAGUUAUCUCGAAAUUAGUAUAUGGGAUAACUUAUUCCAUCACUAUAGUGUAAAUGGUGGGAUAAUUAUUUUCGGUACCAAUCCGUAUGGAAGUUCUUACUUUGAAAACUGUCUUUGUUUUGCUGGGUGCAAUUUCUACAGUUCACGUUCAACUUUAUGGCAGAGCAUAUCAUGAGUUUACAACCUGAAAAUUCAGAGCCAGAGCAGCUAAAAAAAGAAUACAUCACAUUUAUGAAAGGAGUGGUUUCUACUCCAUUGAAUUUUCCAGGAACAACUUAUAGAAAGGCCUUACAGGUACUAUUAUGUAAAAGCAGGAAGUGUUUAUAAUUUUUCUUGGAAGGUAUUGGUAAGGAUUUGAAAUGGAAUAGUAUAGAUUCAUACAGAAAAAAAGGUUCUUUAUUGACUCAAAACACUAUACCUAUCAAUUCAUGACUUGAAUUUAAGUUUAAUUUCUCUAUUUUGUUAUAGUCUCGAUCGAUAAUUCUUGGAUUCAUUGAGAGAAAAAUGGAAGAGAGGCUUAAGGAAAUGAAAGGAAACGAAAACGACCUACUUGGGUGGGUUCUGAAGAAUUCAAAUCUUUUAAAAGAGCAAAUUCUUGAUUUGCUACUAAGUUUGCUCUUUGCUGGACAUGAAACAUCAUCAGUAGCCAUAGCUUGAUAGUCAAAAUGCAGGGAUUCACAAUUCUUAAUAGAUUGUUUUUUUUACAGCACAAACGCAAAUUUCACUAUUUUGGAGAAAUCCCAGUUCUGUAAAAUAAUACCAAUCCUAAUUUAACCAAUCAUAAUUUAACCAAUCACUAUUCCGUCAUCAGGUUCUAUGUAGAAAUGGUCCUUGGUUAGUUGGUUUCUAGUCAAGUGAUGCCCAAAUGCUCAUUUUUAGUUGGUUCUCUGGAUUGUUGAUUGAAUUUUAAAGUCUAUUUAGUUAAAGUCAAUUCCAUGAACCACCCUCCCCUCCCUGCGCUAAAAAGGGAAAAAUAUUUUUUUAAAAACUUUUUUCUUAUAAGAAAUAACAAACAAGAAUUAAAUAAUGAAUUCAUUUACAUUGACAAAACAAUCAUGAAAAUGAAGGUGAGCAAGACUGCAAAGUUUGUUGAAUUACGUUUUGAACAUUACUUAAAUAUUUGAACACGUACUUAAGUAAAAAUUAGCACUUAACUGGAUGUUUGAUUCACACAAACUAAAAGAUCAUAUAAAAAAUUGUUAACUACUAAAGUUUAAUUUGAACUAAUUUGAGAUUUACUCUUUCUUUAAACUAUUACAGAACCGCCAUAAAAAAGUUAUUGAAUAUUCUCAGACAUACUGUCAAGUACCUUUGUUGCACAAAGUUUUCACCUUUCGUAAUCAUUUAUUUUUUUUAAAAGAAAUGAACACCCAAAAUUUUUCCCAAUCACUUUUUGUUUACACUCCACACUCAUAUUCAGCUCAACUACAUUUCACUGAUACAUAUAGUACCAACAAAUCCAAGAAAAAAACUAAACCACAUAAUUAAUUUUAAUUUCAACCAAAAAGAAACUUUUUUCUUCUUAUCUUUUACAAGAUUUAUACAUAAAUCACAACAUGAAAGCUGCAAAACCAUUUGAAUGAAUUGAAAUCAAAGAGUAGAUCAAGAAAAAUUCAUAACAAAUUAACUUCACAACAGAUUCACUUUAUUAGAUCCAGAAAUAUAUUUGUUCAAACAUACCUGACAUAAUCGGAAUUGAGAUUUUUCCAUUACCCAAGAGAUAUGGAGAGAAUAUCACAAGAGUUGAGUUUUUUUUUUUUAACAGAGCAUAUAAACGAUAAUAUUGAAGACUGGAAUGGUAGACGUAUA